CUAGCCAAAAGGGGUGACUCCAAUUCUCACAGAGGCACCACACUUUCCACCUCUAGGCCUUUCUUUGUGUCUCUUCCUCUGCCUGAGCGGACAGCCCUUCUCAAUGCCUGCUUAGCCCCACCGUCCAGGCCACGCUCAAACGUCUCAUGUCCCCUCAUUCUCCUGCCCAGCCCAGGCCCCGGUCUGCCCCCUCUCAGUUUCCCAAGCUCUCCACACCUGCAAAAUUCAUCUCAGCCUUACCGGCAGACACGGCCCGGCAGGGGCUGACUGAGGCCAGACAUCAGGUGUGCGUGCCACAUGGGGCUGGGCACCAGGGCCUGGGCCAGGGCUUUCUGCAACGAAGGACACUCUCUCUGUGCUUUCCAGUACCACAGCCACUAGCCACACGUGGCUAUGGAGCCCUUGAUAUGUGGGCGGUGCCCCUGAGGAACUCAGUGUUAAGUUGUGCUUAACUGGGAUUAAUUUUUUUUUAAUUAAUUUUUUUUCCAACAUAUGAAGUUUAUUGUCAAAUUGGUUUCCAUAUAACUGGGACUAAUUUUAACAGCAACAAGGGGCCUGUGGCCACCGCAUCUCCGGACGAACAAGAGAAUAUGCCUCUUGCUAUGUAUGUACAAAUCCGCACAUGGGGGCAUGCGUGUGUGUGUGCGUGUGUGUGUGUGUGCGUGUGUGUGUCUGAGGGCACCUGAGGUGACAGCGCCCGGUAGGGCUGUGGUGGCGGGCCUGGUGUGACAGCGCUGGUGCUCCGUGCCUGGGUCACGUGGGUGCGAGGCCAGAAUGUGGUUUCGGUGUGUGUGCAGGACAGGAGGAGAGGGGGACAAAGAGGCCAUUGUGCCACAUUCCCAAACUCAAGCCCUCCUUUCCGAUGACAUCACGGCUGCCCUAAAUAGAGCUGCCCAGACCCGCUCCCCCAGACCCGGGCUACCCCCUGCAUCGUGGUGCGGAGCCGACCGUCCCCAGUACCGCUCCAUGGGACUCACCUUUGCCUUCUCUGUGACGAGCCGGGCCACGUUGCCCUGGCUGACUUCUCAGCCGACUUCAGGUGGAAAAUUCUAGAAAGGAAAGAGGCUUCGUUUGGAUGUGUUAUUGCUGCUGCCGCUCUCAGAACCCUGGGUCCCUUUGGUGCUGCGAGCCCACCUCCUGGCAGGAUGUUUUACGACCGAAAUAUGGCGGAUUCCCCCUCCUUUUUGGGGUCACCUCUUUACUCCUCGGCUGCCUGGGGGCCUCCAAGACUUUUCUGGAUGGACACGGAGGGUACCAAGCAGAGCUGAGAGAUGUCCACGGACCGGGAGGCAAGACCCCGGAAGAAGGAUGGCCCUUAUCCUUAAGGGUAAGCAGACCCUCACACACGGAGAUUUUGAUACCUUUUCGGAGCAUGCGCACUGCCUGGAGGGAGAUUCGGCACGACUCCAGGUUUCCACCGGAUGAGGGGCCUCAAAGGAAAGGAGGAAAUGACGCACGAGACAGAAACACUGUCUUACCAGAGGACCCAUGUGGUUGGGGGUGGCCACCCCAACAGGCCUUCAGUCCGUCAACAAACGUCUACCGAGCGCCUCCCGUGUGCCGGCCCUGAGCCUCUGCCUGCCUCCGCAGAUGCUUAUGGGAUAACUAACCAGCUAACCAACCAACCAACUAACAGGUAUGGGAUGCCCAGCAGGGGGGGAGGAGGGGGGCCGAACAUAACCAUAGAAGCACUUGCAAUGGCCUUGCUUACCAGCUUUGGCCAG